rnacentral:misc_RNA from 1 species
GUGAAUCAUCGAAUUUUUGAACGCAAAUUGCACUCUCCUCGGUGAGUAUGCCUGUUUGAGGGUCAGCCUAUAUAAAAUCGACAUCGUCGCUGUUUCGCGGUGGCGUUCGUCGGAAAUUGGGUCAUCUUAAAUCCUUUUGAUUUAAGCGACUUACAAUUUUCUUUUGGUUCCAUGUACGCUUCUAUGAUCUAUUUCUUUACACGUUUACGCAUGCGUUU